rnacentral:rRNA from 1 species
UCGUAGACUCCUACGGGAGGCAGCAGUGGGAAUAUUGCACAAUGGGCGCAAGCCUGUAUGCAGCCAUGCCGCGUGUGUGAAGAAGGCCUUCGGGUUGUAAAGCACUUUCAGUCGUGAGGAAGGUAGUGUAGUUAAUAGCUGCAUUAUUUGACGUUAGCGACAGAAGAAGCACCGGCUAACUCCGUGCCAGCAGCCGCGGUAAUACGGAGGGUGCGAGCGUUAAUCGGAAUUACUGGGCGUAAAGCGCAUGCAGGUGGUUUGUUAAGUCAGAUGUGAAAGCCCCGGGGCUCAACCUCGGAAUUGCAUUUGAAACUGGCAGACUAGAGUACUGUAGAGGGGGUAGAAUUUCAGGUGUAGCGGUGAAAAUGCGUAGAGAUCUGAAGGAAUACCGGUGGCGAAGGCGGCCCCCUGGACAGAUACUGACACUCAGAUGCGAAAGCGUGGGGAGCAAACAGGAUUAGAUACCCUGGUAG